GGCGGCAUGCCUUACACAUGCAAGUCGAACGGCAGCGCGGGGCAACCUGGCGGCGAGUGGCGAACGGGUGAGUAAUAUAUCGGAACGUACCCUGGAGUGGGGGAUAACGUAGCGAAAGUUACGCUAAUACCGCAUACGAUCUAAGGAUGAAAGCAGGGGACCGCAAGGCCUUGUGCUCCUGGAGCGGCCGAUAUCUGAUUAGCUAGUUGGUAGGGUAAAAGCCUACCAAGGCAUCGAUCAGUAGCUGGUCUGAGAGGACGACCAGCCACACUGGAACUGAGACACGGUCCAGACUCCUACGGGAGGCAGCAGUGGGGAAUUUUGGACAAUGGGCGCAAGCCUGAUCCAGCAAUGCCGCGUGAGUGAAGAAGGCCUUCGGGUUGUAAAGCUCUUUUGUCAGGGAAGAAACGGUGAAGGCUAAUAUCCUUUGCUAAUGACGGUACCUGAAGAAUAAGCACCGGCUAACUACGUGCCAGCAGCCGCGGUAAUACGUAGGGUGCAAGCGUU
rnacentral:rRNA from 1 species